UUGUUAUCACGAAAGCUGGAGGGAAUAGACCCUAUGAAAGCUUAGCAACCUCUCGCCCUUGCGGAAAGGUGCUACAUUCUAUUCCGAUACUAUCGGAAGCAGAUAACGU
rnacentral:ncRNA from 19 species